UACAGAGGGUGCGAGCGUUAAUCGGAAUGACUGGGCGUAAAGGGUGCGUAGGUGGCCGCAUAAGUCAGAUGUGAAAGUCCUGGGCUCAACCUGGGGAUUGCGUCUGGUACUGCGUAGCUAGAGUACUGUAGAGGGAAGUGGAAUUUCCGGUGUAGCAGUGAAAUGCGUAGAUAUCGGAAGGAACAUCAGUGGCGAAGGCGACUUUCUGGUCCAAUACUGACGUUCAUGUGCGAAAGCGUGGGGAGCAAACAGG
rnacentral:rRNA from 1 species